CAGUCGCCGCGGUAAUACGAAGGGGGCUAGCGUUGUUCGGAAUUACUGGGCGUAAAGGGCGCGUAGGCGGCCAUUCAAGUUAGAUGUGAAAGCCCUGGGCUCAACCUAGGAAUUGCAUUUGAUACUGUUUGGCUUGAGUUCGGGAGAGGUGAGUGGAAUUCCCAGUGUAGAGGUGAAAUUCGUAGAUAUUGGGAAGAACACCAGUGGCGAAGGCGGCUCACUGAACCGACACUGACGCUGAGGCGCGAAAGCGUGGGGAGCAAACAGGAUUAGAGACCCCUGUAGUCCCUGUCUCUUAUAC
rnacentral:rRNA from 1 species